UACGUAGGUCCCGAGCGUUGUCCGGAUUUAUUGGGUUUAAAGGGUGCGUAGGCGGAUCGUUAAGUCAGUGGUCAAAUUGAGGGGCUCAACCCCUUCCCGCCAUUGAAACUGGCGAUCUUGAGUGGAAGAGAAGUAUGCGGAAUGCGUGGUGUAGCGGUGAAAUGCAUAGAUAUCACGCAGAACCCCGAUUGCGAAGGCAGCAUGCCGGCUUCCGACUGACGCUGAAGCACGAAAGCGUGGGGAUCGAACAGG
rnacentral:rRNA from 1 species